ACUGCACCCUCUGCCCCACUGCGCAACCCCACCAUGCCCCUUGCCCCACUGUGCCCUCUCACCCCACUGCCCCGGUCCCACCGCACCUUCUGCCCCUAUGUGCUGCCCCACUGUCCCACCUCUACUGCGCCCCAUCCCACGGUACCCCUCUGCCCCACCCCACCGCCACCACAUCUUACCCACCCCAUGUCCUCCCCACCCCCUGCCCUGCCACCCCCAGCGACCCACCCUCUGCCAGUCUGCCCAGCCACUCGCCGUGCUGCCCAUCCCCUCGCCAAUUGCCCUGUCACCCACACAUCUCCUACGUGACUGCUCUGCAUGGGUGCUGGAACUACAGGGGCGAGGGGGCUGCCGCACCCCCUGGCUUGAAGUGGUUUCCAUGAUAUACAGGGUUGACAGUUUGGUUCAAUGGCUCUUAGCACCCCCACCACAGAAAUUGUUCCAGCCCCCCAGCUGCUCUGCCCCCCACAGCUCCCCCCACCCAGGUUCUGCCCAGCUGCCUCAACCACCCACAGCACUCCCUACUUUGCUCUAAGUACCCUUGCCGUGCAUAUUUUUUUACCUUCCCCAGUCACUGUACAGCCUCACCCACUUUCCUCCUAUGCCUUUGCUUUGUCCAUGCACCAUCUCCCUCUAUAGCUUCUGUCUUCUGCUGCUUAAAGCUAUUACCUAGUUGGCUACAUAUAGUUAACAAGAGUGUGGCCAGUGUCUGUGGCCUCUGGCCUGUGUCAGUACAUUACGCUGAGUGAAACUGUGCAGUCACUUGCUUCGUUGUCAACUUUUGCAAAACUCUGCUGGGAGUGCCAUUUAAAACUUAUGGAGCAAGCAAAGGACUCUCUGCAUCCAAUGGAUAGGAUACUGGACUGGCAUUCGGAAAAGCUUGAUUCUAAUUCUCAGCUGCGCUGCUGGCCUGCUGGGUGUUCUCAGGGCUGAAUGUUUGAGGUGCAUCCUGACAUUCCAAUGAAGAAUCCAUUUAGGGCCCAUUUUUGUGGGCCAGGACAGUGGAAUGAACUCCCCCAUGAACUAAAGACCAUCACAGACGUCACUACCUUCCACACCAAGUGCAAGAUGCACUUCUCUGAGCUUGUCUUCUCCAACAUAAACGCAGACCAACAUAUGUACUUAAGGAAAAAACAACCCCCCCUGCCAAAACAAGCCAUGCCACUGCACAUGCUUCUCUGCUCGGGGAGACGAUGAGAGAACAAACAAGUGACUGAUGUUAGUCACGUUGCUUAAUACAUGACUGGAAAGUACUCUGAUACUAUGCAGUGUAAAAACCUGUCUCAGCUAGAACAGACUCUUAUCUUUGCGCCUGUGGCCGGAUCCUCAGCUGUGGUAAACUGGUGUAGCCCCAGUUUUGGGGGCACAUAGGAGCUGCGUACAUUAUCUAUGGAGCAUGGGGAUAUACAACUUUCAGCUGCAGGGGUCACUUCAGCAUGCAAAGCUGAAGAAGAGCAAUGGAAAUCAGGACCCAACCCAUUAAUUCAGGACAGUCAACAAUCCCACGGCACACUGCUCACCUGGCUAAGUCAAUCAUAGAUUCAGAGACUUUGUGGCCUGACGCAGCACUGCAUUCAUAAAACAAGAGCUCACACUCCUGGAAGACACAAGAAGGCACACACAAAUGCACUUCCCUUCCAGAACUGUUUGGUAGGUUCAAGCCAUAGAUUGCAUAGAUUUAAAAGAGGUCGAGCGCAAGUGCUAUGAUUUUUCCCAGAUAAUCAUCAAACAACCAAAGACGGGGGAGUCGGUGCAUUUGGAGCAAUGAUAUGGUUUGUAUAGGAUGUAAAAAAAAAAAUCACGAGGGACUAAUUACACGAGGAAAGGUGGUGAUCUGUUGGAAAUGCAUGGCUCAGAGGGUCUCCUUGCUGCUGCGGUAUGGAACUCAUAGGUGAAUAAAAUUGUACAUUGUAAUUAUUAAGUUUUAGGAAUGUUGAGAAUGAAAUCCAGCUUCCCCAGCAGCUUCAGUGCUAAUCUUUAACGGCAAGGGAAAGCCUGGCAUACUAUAGACAUACACAGAGGCAGCAUUGCCUAGUGGAUUGAACACAGAGUUGUCAGCUAGAAUGUUCUCUUUCUGGCUCUGUCAGUGACUUGCUGUGUGUCCUUGGGUAAGUCACUUCAUCUCUCUGUCCCGGGUUCUGUAAAAUGGGGAGAACGAUACUUGUCCGUCUCACGGACUGUUACCAGAAUCAAUGCUUGGACACAUAAAGCAUCUUUCAAAAGGGAUAAUUCAGUAAUUGCUUUAUGCUUUUAUUAUUUACAUAGUGCUGGAGAGGUGCCUGGCAUGUUACGGUGCAGAUAGGCCCAGAUCCUCAAAGACAUGUAGGAGCCUAACUCCCACUGAAAUCAAGGGAAUUACGCACCUAAAUACCUUUGAGGAUCUGGGCCAGAUUCCCUGCCUCAAAAACCUUACAGCCUGAGGCCCUGAUCCUGUAAGCUGUUCUGCUGGGGUUCAGUGGAGGAGGGCCAGGGAAUAGCUUGCCAGAGUUAAAACAAGGCCAGCAGGAGGAGACAAAAACACAAGGAGCAAGAUAUGGUUCUGUGGUCAUUUCCUGGCAAUUAAUGACCAGACGAUGAGUUAAGGGCUUUCUGCUUUGCCUCAGGUCCUCAAUUCCCACACUAAUUGUUAAUGGAAGGAAAUGCCUAUCCUGUCAGUCACGGUGGCUUAACUAUAGCCUUGGUUUUGCUUUAUUCUUUUAACUCCCCGACCCCCAACUAAGGAUGGUGAAAGAAUUUAAAUGGAUGGUAAACGCCAAUAGAUCUGUUCACAUACCUUAGCCAAGCGUCCACCCUCUUCAGUAGAUACCUGUCUUUCUGUGGCACAGUCUGUUUUGUUACCAAGUAGAAGGAUGACAACUCCAUCUCCUGCUCCUUCCUGUGAAACAGGACAGGUGGGGUGAAAUCUUGGCCCCAGUGGAGUCAGUGGAAGUUUUGCCAUUGACCAUAAUGGGAUCUACAGUUUCUUCAAAUCAUAGCCCUACACAGCUUCUGAACACAUCAGGGCAAAGCCUAGAGUAACCCCACUGACCUGCAUGGAUUUGGUCCAUGGGGCUUGGGUUUACAUGAUAGAGCAUCUCUUCCAGAAAGGCAUCUGGUCUUGAUUUGAAGCCAUGAAGAGAUGGAGAAUCUGCCACUUCCCUUGGAAGUUUGUUGAAAUAGUUUCAACCGACCCCAGAGUAGGUUGAAAAAUUAAUUAAAAAAUUUAAUGAAAAAACUGACUUUGUUUCCAUUCCUCAGGGUUCAAAGCUGAUCCAUUUUCUUUAAAAAAAAUUGUUUUUUUUUUGCAAUUUUUUAAAUAAAAAACAUUACAGAAAUCAUUUUCAAAAUCCUUCAUUUCCCCCAAAUCAAAACAAAAAAGAGUUGAUAGCCCUUUUGACAAUGUUUUCAUAAACAACAUCAGGAAAAUAUUGUGCAAAAUAUGGAAAAAAUGAACCUUUAUUGCAAAAUAAAUAAAUGAAUGAUAGAAUAGAGGCUAUUAAUUAACAUAAGAAUGGCCAUACUGAGUCAGACCAAAGCUCCAUCUAGCCCAGUAUCCUGUCUUAAACAGUGGCCAAUGUCAAUGGCCAAUUGACCAAAAAAAAAAAAUCUGAAAAAUUUCCAAUUUAUAGCCAGCUCAUGGAUGAGAUGCAAAAUCAAGGCUGUGACCUUUCAUGGUUAUUAAAGAACCCGUGAGACUUUUCCCUAAACAAGAAUAAGGGUAUUAGUGGUAUAGUUCUACAGGGAAUUCUUAAAGCACCCAUCUUGGCAGCCACAGCAUUGUCUCCAUAAGAGAUAAGGCCAAUUUAGCCCUCAUAAGCAUGUAGGUGCCUGCAGCAGACUUCAGUGGGAACUGUGAGUGUCAAGGGUCAAGGGCAAAAUUUGGCCCACAUUGAUGGAAUAGUUUUGCUUAGUGGCUAGAGCGCUGGACUGAGACUCAAGAGACCUGGGUUCUAUUCCAGGCUCUGGCCUGCUGAGUAACCUUUUCCCUUGCUGUGCCUCAGUUUCCUCAUCUGUAAAAUGGGGAUAAUAAUACUGACUUCCUUUGUAAAGCACUUUGUGAUCUGUGGAUGAAAAGUGCUAUAUAAGAGCUAGUAUUAUUAUGACACCAAAGAAAGACCCUGCCACUCUUCAGUUACUUGCUACUGCAAAUCCCAAACCUCAUGUGGCCAGAUGCAGACUAAUGCAAAUCAGUGUAGCUCCAUUGACAUAAUGGAGUUACAUCAAUUAAAACCAUCUGAGGAUCUGGUCGGAUACAGCUGCAUACGUUGAAAUUCACAAAUGUUUCUUCCAUCCGCAUUCCUAGCUUAGCAUAAGACAUGGGUUGAGUUCAUUCCUUAUGUCAUUCCAGUAUGUUUGAUGGGGAUUACAUCAUGGGUGAAUCUGGCUAGAUAAUGAUACUGAGGGCUGAUAAAAAUUUCAUGGCAUUUUUCAUCAAGUACAUGGAUUGUUUGUCUUUUUCAAAAAACGAAUAGUCCCAGUACCAAUGCCCUUGUUCCUCUCUUGACUAUUUUCUUGUACCAAUAUAUUCAUCCUAAACAUGAUUCAUAAAAUAUAGGUGGCCCAAUUCUGCUCUGAUUUCUGCCCCAAUCAGUCUGGCUGAGUAUAGCUGGGUUUGAUGAGGUCUAGGUCAGGGCAGAAUUUGGCCCUGUCUU